rnacentral:tmRNA from 2 species
GGGGCUGAUUUUUGGAUUUGACGUAAUAUUCAAAAUCUAAAGUGCAUGUCGAGGGACGGUAGGCCUCGUUAAUAAACCGUAACCAAAUAGUCGCAAACGACAAAAACUACGCUUUAGCAGCUUAAUAAGCUUCAGAGCCCUUUCUACCUGUUUUGCUCUUGAAAUAGUGAAUUAAAGAAAGGUCAAUAUUAAAAAGAGAUAGCACUUAUGUCACUGUACCUAAAAGUGCUCAGUGUGAAAAUUUAAAUUUGGGUUAGUUUCAUAGAAGCGUGUCUAGCAGCAUCUAUGAAAUGAAUUGAAAUGUUAGACUAAGCAUGUAGUGCUUAAGAUGUAGAAUUUUCGGACGCGGGUUCAAAUCCCGCCAGCUCCACCA